CGAAUAAUAAAACAAAAUUAAGACAAAAAACAACAACAAAUUCCUAAGGUUUUAGGGUAAGCUUGGAAAGGAUAAGAGUUAAUGCAUUUUGAAUUUGAGCUUGAGAUGCUAGCAGAUCUUCAUGGCUUUGGUGGAAGCUUAAGUUUGUCAUUGAUACCGAUUCCUGCUAUCCUUAGCUAGCUUCUAUCCAAAAGCUUCAUUUUCAUGUAGUCAUAUUAUCAUGAACAUGUAACAUUCAUCCCAUUCAUCAACACGUGGAUAUGAAGUGAAAAUUAUAGGAGUAAGGGACAGAUGCCCAAGGUUGAUAGGUGUGAAUAUGGAGGGGAAAUGGUAUAAAUGAUAUGAGAAGAAAUAGAUUAUUUUGAUUCCAAGGUUUGAACAAUAUCAAUGGCUAUUUGAGCAGCCAAAGUGAAUUCACUGCCAAAAGGCAUGGUAGAUGAUGUUUGUUCUUGUAUGAGGAGUGUAAAGAGAUGGGGUAUCUCAAGUAUUUGUGCUUUGGAUUGUGGUUAUGUUUGUGUUGAGGAGAUGGUGAACAUUCAAACUCACAAACCUUUUGAGGUGACAAGGUUUUCUUUCUUCUAAUGAGUAACUAAUCCUCAUUAGAUGGUUAAUUGUCUAAGUAGGAGGCAGUGAUUUGGAUUAGGAUUAAGGUAGGGAUUAUUAUCUUCUAAUUUAUUUAAUUUAUGUCGAUGUCAAUUAUUGAUGUUUCAUUAAACAAACUGUACUUUUUUUUCUCCUUUCAGUCACUUGUUUUUAG
rnacentral:lncRNA from 1 species